rnacentral:rRNA from 1 species
AGCCCGCUCGCCGGAAGACCAAGGGUUCCUGUCCAACGUUAAUCGGGGCAGGGUGAGUCGACCCCUAAGGCGAGGCCGAAAGGCGUAGUCGAUGGGAAACAGGUUAAUAUUCCUGUACUUGGUGUUACUGCGAAGGGGGGACGGAGAAGGCUAUGUUGGCCGGGCGACGGUUGUCCCGGUUUAAGCGUGUAGGCUGGUUUUCCAGGCAAAUCCGGAAAAUCAAGGCUGAGGCGUGAUGACGAGGCACUACGGUGCUGAAGCAACAAAUGCCCUGCUUCCAGGAAAAGCCUCUAAGCAUCAGGUAACAUCAAAUCGUACCCCAAACCGACACAGGUGGUCAGGUAGAGAAUACCAAGGCGCUUGAGAGAACUCGGGUGAAGGAACUAGGCAAAAUGGUGCCGUAACUUCGGGAGAAGGCACGCUGAUAYGUAGGUGAAGYSMCUUGCKSRUGGAGCUGAAAUCAGUCGAAGAUACCAGCUGGCUGCAACUGUUUAUUAAAAACACAGCACUGUGCAAACACGAAAGUGGACGUAUACGGUGUGACGCCUGCCCGGUGCCGGAAGGUUAAUUGAUGGGGUUAGCGGUAACGCGAAGCUCUUGAUCGAAGCCCCGGUAAACGGCGGCCGUAACUAUAACGGUCCUAAGGUAGCGAAAUUCCUUGUCGGGUAAGUUCCGACCUGCACGAAUGGCGUAAUGAUGGCCAGGCUGUCUCCACCCGAGACUCAGUGAAAUUGAACUCGCUGUGAAGAUGCAGUGUACCCGCGGCAAGACGGAAAGACCCCGUGAACCUUUACUAUAGCUUGACACUGAACAUUGAGCCUUGAUGUGUAGGAUAGGUGGGAGGCUUUGAAGUGUGGACGCCAGUCUGCAUGGAGCCGACCUUGAAAUACCACCCUUUAAUGUUUGAUGUUCUAACGUUGGCCCCUAAUCGGGGUUGCGGACAGUGUCUGGUGGGUAGUUUGACUGGGGCGGUCUCCUCCUAAAGAGUAACGGAGGAGCACGAAGGUUGGCUAAUCCUGGUCGGACAUCAGGAGGUUAGUGCAAUGGCAUAAGCCAGCUUGACUGCGAGCGUGACGGCGCGAGCAGGUGCGAAAGCAGGUCAUAGUGAUCCGGUGGUUCUGAAUGGAAGGGCCAUCGCUCAACGGAUAAAAGGUACUCCGGGGAUAACAGGCUGAUACCGCCCAAGAGUUCAUAUCGACGGCGGUGUUUGGCACCUCGAUGUCGGCUCAUCACAUCCUGGGGCUGAAGUAGGUCCCAAGGGUAUGGCUGUUCGCCAUUUAAAGUGGUACGCGAGCUGGGUUUAGAACGUCGUGAGACAGUUCGGUCCCUAUCUGCCGUGGGCGCUGGAGAACUGAGGGGGGCUGCUCCUAGUACGAGAGGACCGGAGUGGACGCAUCACUGGUGUUCGGGUUGUCAUGCCAAUGGCACUGCCCGGUAGCUAAAUGCGGAAGAGAUAAGUGCUGAAAGCAUCUAAGCACGAAACUUGCCCCGAGAUGAGUUCUCCCUGACUCCCUGAGAGUCCUGAAGGAACGUUGAAGACGACGACGUUGAUAGGCCGGGUGUGUAAGCGCAGCGAUGCGUUGAGCUAACCGGUACUAAUGAACCGUGAGGCUUAACCUU